CUUUUGGAGGUCUAUUUGGAUGGAGUGGGUCCCACAUACUUUUAGUGGGUGGACCUCCCACUCCACUUUAUAACUGUUCUUUUUUCUAAUAUACCCAGGGUUCACACCCUUUAGUAUCUCUGUAACCUACUGUGAGACAUCAGUGUUGGUUGGUCCUGCACUGUAGUCUCUUCUUUGCUUCACUUUUGUUUCUGUUUAUACAGUCCUAAC